AGCACGGUCCCCAAGUAGACAUAGGCAGGAUGUUCACAGCCAGAAGCUCUGCGAGACCACACGUGUGCCAGGCACAGGGGACAGCUCCCACCAGCAGAAGAUGCCUCGGCGACCCAGAGCAGCAUGUACCCCAGAGGAUGAGGAAGUUGAGGCUCAGAGAAAGAGAGUGAUAUAUACUCAACGUCCUGUGAUCAGAGUGCAGGAACCAGGUGCAGGUGGUCAGCUGCCGCCGGGCCCAUGCCGUGAGGCCGGGAGGCCGGCGUCCGCCACCAGCAUGCCGUGGGACGCGCGGCGGCCCGGGGGCGGCGCGGACGGCGGGCCGGAGGGCGCAGGCGCGGCGCGCUCACGGGCGCAGAAGCAGUGUCGCAAGUCGUCAUUCGCCUUCUACCAGGCCGUCCGCGACCUGCUGCCGGUGUGGCUGCUCGAGGACAUGCGCGCCAGCGAGGCCUUCCACUGGGACGAGCGCGGCCGCGCCGCCGCUUACUCGCCCUCCGAGGCGCUGCUCUACGCGCUCGUGCACGACCACCAGGCGUACGCGCACUACCUGCUGGCCACGUUCCCGCGGCGCGCGCUCGCGCCGCCCAGCGCCGGCUUCCGCUGCUGCGCGGCUCCCGGGCCGCACGUGGCGCUGGCCGUGCGCUACAACCGCGUGGGCAUCCUGCGCCGCAUCCUGCGCACCGUGCGCGACUUCCCGCCCGAGGAGCGCGCGCGCGUGCUCGACCGGCGCGGCUGCAGCCGCGUGGAGGGUGGUGGCACGGCGCUGCACGCGGCCUGCGAGCUGGCGCGCCCCGAGUGCCUCUUCCUGCUGCUUGGCCACGGCGCGUCACCCGGCCUGCGCGACGGCGGCGGCCUCACGCCUCUUGAGCUGCUGCUGCGCCAGCUGGGCCGCGACGCCGGGGCCCCCAGUGCCGCCGCUGCCGCCGCCGGGGCUCCCGCCUCUGCGCCCGGGGAGCCGCGCCAGCGCCGCCUGCUGCUGCUCGACCUGCUGGCGCUGUACACGCCCGCGGGCGCCGCCGGCCCUGCCCGCCGGGAGCUGCUGGGCGACCGGCCGCGCUGGCAGCGGCUGCUGGGCGAGGACAAGUUCCAGUGGCUGGCGGGCCUGGCGCCGCCCUCGCUCUUCGUGCGCGCCAUGCAGGUGCUGGUCACCGCCAUCUCGCCUGGACGCUUCCCCGAGGCCCUGGACGAGCUGCCGCUGCCGCCCUUCCUGCAGCCGCUGGACCUCACGGGCAAGGGCUAGACCUCGGCGGGGAGGGGGGUGGGGCUGGUCGUUGGAUUUUUGGAAAUACUAUUUUUCAGAGCGUUGUACCCAGCACUUUACAUAUAUUGAUCUCUGUAUAGGAGAAUCUCUGCUUCGUAUGUUGCACGCGCUGCAGGCUGGGCCUUGAUGGUCACGUGGGCCCCCGGCUGCGGGUUUCUGGGGUCCGGCUGAGCCCAGCUCCCCGCCUCCCUCCCUUUUUGCAAGGGUACAGGAGUCACGUGACUCCUAGAGCCAGGCCCUACCCUCUGCUCACUGUCCAGCCCCUGAAGCUUUCGAUGUUGAUGUAGAGCCUCCAGGACCAAGUGUCCCAGAGGGAGUGACAGCUGAGCUGAGCAGGAAUUGGGCAGGGGCUGUGGGUGUGGACCGACGUGCCUGAGCUGGGGACAGCAUGUUCGAGGGCCUAGAGGCCAAGAGAGCAGGUCCUGUGAGGUUCUGGGAAAGAGGUCCUCUGUGCAGUGGGCAUAUAGGGCCUUGCGAACUCCUGUGUGGGGCAGAGGAGGAUGGGAAGGCUUGCUGUGCUGGCGUGGGGGGAGGCGUGAUCCAGGCUGUGCUCCCGCUUCUCCCGCGUCCCCUCCUUGGAUAUCCUUGUGACACCUCCCCCCAGAACUGGCGUAUCCGGGCCUGGGCUUGUCCGUCUUCCCUGAUGAGUAGCAGGCACCAAGUCCCCCGCUCCUGCUUUCCUCUCCUCUGCCAGGAAGCCUCCGGUGCCUCAAGCCCCUGUUCCCCGCCUCCCUCCACCCUGUCUUCUGGUGGUGUUAGAUGUGCCUUCCUCCGGGCCUGACCUGGGUCCGGCCCUUGGCGUGGGAUCCCAGGUGUUCCCCUGGCCCAGUCCCCAGAGGGUGACUGGGUGGCUGUGGCUCCCAGUGGGGCAAGCGCUCUUGCCGCAGCUAAUGGAGCUGGCUUCUGUAGGAAGGUUCUGAAGAAGAUUGUUAACGGAUGUGCCGCCAUCCUUCAGGACAAAUGGACUGAUGGACAAGCCUGGUCCGUGCCCUAAGGAGCGUCGAGGCCAGGGAGGAUGGCCAGGCCGUUCGGCCCCGGGGAGUUCCGCUGGGCUAUGAAAUCCAAGCUGCGUGGCUCGGGCUGGAGGGCCACGAUGUCCUGCCAGGAGGAGACGGCUAAAGUAGGCUCUACGCCCAAUGUGGGGCUUGAACUCACGACCUCGAGAUCAAGAGUCUCAUGCUCUUCCCGCCGAGCCGGCCAGGUGCCCUGAGACGCACAGACUUUAAAUGUAUAGUCUGAGGAGUUCUGACAGAGGUCUACACAUGUAACCACCACCUUGAUCAGGACAGAGGUGAAGACCGAGAUUUCUGUCUUAAGUGAUUUUUAAAAAGAAUUUCUGCUUAUAGAACUCACACUGGAGGCAGAACACUGGGACUGCAGAGAAAUCCAGGGCAGGGCCCGGCAGGGUUUCCUCACGGAAACAUUGUCCUGCUCGCCCUCCAUUGUCUGGCUGCCAAAAAAGGGGGCCAGCUGCCUGCCACCAGCCCACCGACCAACCACUACGAGCAUGUGGGUGUAUUUUCUUCCAGUCUUUUCUAUGCAUGUAUAUAAAUAUAUUAAAAUUAUUUUCUAUGCAUAUUUUUUACAUACAUGACAUCAGAUCGCUUAAAUAAUUAAGUACCUUUAAACUUACUGUAGUCUAAGCACUUUCCUAUAUUGUAAAAUGCUUUGUAAAUGACUUCUCAGGAGCCUUUGGUGUUUACUUGGUGAUAUUUGAUUCAGCUAGUGUUGACAGCAUAAGGAGUUAAUGUUGGCACUUUUUAAAAUGUGAAUUUUAUUUAUUUUGAAAUAAAUAAUACAUUUA